rnacentral:rRNA from 1 species
GACGAACGCUGGCGGCGUGCUUAACACAUGCAAGUCGAGCGGUAAGGCCCUUUCGGGGGUACACGAGCGGCGAACGGGUGAGUAACACGUGGGUGACCUGCCCUUAGCUCUGGGAUAAGCCUGGGAAACUGGGUCUAAUACCGGAUAUGACUCCAUGACGCAUGUUGUGGGGUGGAAAGCCUUGUGCGGCUAGGGAUGGGCCCGCGGCCUAUCAGCUUGUUGGUGGGGUGAUGGCCACCAAGGCGACGACGGGUAGCCGGCUUGAGAGGGCGACCGGCCACACUGGGACUGAGACACGGCCCAGACUCCUACGGGAGGCAGCAGUGGGGAAUCUUGCGCAAUGGGCGAAAGCCUGACGCAGCGACGCCGCGUGGGGAUGACGGCCUCGGUU